GUUUCUUCCCUUCAGCGUCAUUUCCAUUUCUGUCAGUUAUAAUUAAAGUUCAUUUAAUACCCCGAAAAAGUAAAGUCAAAAUUUCAAUUAAUUAUGAAAAGCCAUGAUAACGAAGUAGAAUGAAGUUUAAUUACACAAUCGGCUAAUCAAAUCACAAAGCUGAGUCACGGUUUUCGAGGAGUUUCUCUGCGGCGUGGAAAUACCAAUUACACUUUCUUGAAACUCGUUGAGAAAAUCAAAUCCAUACCAGGCACUCAAUCAUAUCAUUGCCAGCCCACAGGCCCGGCUUCAAAUAUGCAAGGGAAAAACUUAAUUAGGCGUCUCUCUCUUGUUUGCCAGUGGGCAGUGUGCGGCUCACCUGCCUCCUCACCUGGUUUUCCUCCAUCGAAAACGCCUCGUCGAAUGUUUGAGCAGGUUGUGCAAUCUUAAAAAAGCAAACUUGGACCUGACACCGUACUUUGAUGCAAAUGCUAAUUUGAAAAUAACACACGUAAUAGCUGAGAAAAUAGUUACACAUUAUAGGAACAUUUCAUAACUGCAAUUUUUAUUUUAGUAA